rnacentral:rRNA from 1 species
AUACGUAGGGGGCGAGCGUUGUCCGGAAUGAUUGGGCGUAAAGGGCGCGUAGGCGGCGCGGUAAGUCUGGAGUGAAAGUCCUGCUUUCAAGGUGGGAAUUGCUUUGGAUACUGCCGCGCUUGAGUGCAGGAGAGGUUAUCGGAAUUCCCGGUGUAGCGGUGAAAUGCGUAGAGAUCGGGAGGAACACCAGUGGCGAAGGCGGGUAACUGGACUGCAACUGACGCUGAGGCGCGAAAGUGUGGGGAGCAAACAGGAUUAGAUACCCUGGUAGUCCACACUGUAAACGAUGAAUGCUAGGUGUAAGAGGUAUCGACCCCUUUUGUGCCGGAGUCAACACAAUAAGCAUUCCGCCUGGGGAGUACGGCCGCAAGGUUGAAACUUAAAGGAAUUGGCGGGG